UUUGAUAUUUUAACCGGAUAGCAGAAACUAGGCAUUAAUUCUAAACACAACGAGAGCAUUUUAAGAUUAAUUAGAAUUUAUUGAUUUCCAAAAAUUACUUUUAAUUCUAAUGAGACAGCGAGAGCAAAGCAUUCUGGUUUAAGAGUAUAGUCAGAGUCAAUAACAUGAGAGUGUGAGAUAAAGUCUUUUAAAUCAAUAAUUUUUGCUGAAGAGUAUUUUGACAUUUAAGAU
rnacentral:lncRNA from 1 species